CGGGGAACCCGCACAAGCGGUGGAUGAUGUGGAUUAAUUCGAUGCAACGCGAAAACCUUACCUACCCUUGACAUGUCCGGAAUCCCGAAGAGAUUUGGGAGUGCUCGCAAGAGAGCCGGAACACAGGUGCUGCAUGGCUGUCGUCAGCUCGUGUCGUGAGAUGUUGGGUUAAGUCCCGCAACGAGCGCAACCCUUGUCAUUAGUUGCCAUCAUUUGGUUGGGCACUCUAAUGAGACUGCCGGUGACAAACCGGAGGAAGGUGGGGAUGACGUCAAGUCCUCAUGGCCCUUAUGGGUAGGGCUUCACACGUCAUACAAUGGUCGGUACAGAGGGUUGCCAAGCCGCGAGGCGGAGCCAAUCCCACAAAGCCGAUCGUAGUCCGGAUUGUUCUCUGCAACUCGAGAGCAUGAAGUCGGAAUCGCUAGUAAUCGCAGGUCAGCAUACUGCGGUGAAUACGUUCCCGGGUCUU
rnacentral:rRNA from 1 species